rnacentral:misc_RNA from 1 species
GCGAGUUGCAAGACUCCCAAACCAUUGUGAACCUACCUGUACCGUUCCUUCGGCGGGCGGCCUACGCCCUAACCUGCCGCCCCUCGCGGGCUGGCGGACCCGCCGAAGGCCCCCUAAACCCUUAGCUUCUUUGGCACCUCUGAGUACAACUUUUAAUAAGUCA